GAAUAGCUCAGGUGGUUGGAGCGUAGUGUUGAUAACGCCAAGGUUGCUGGUUCAAUCCCCGUAUGGGACA